CUGUAAUCAGGCUCAUGGAGAAGCAUGUGGUCACAUCUCAACUGUUUCCUCUCUCUCUCUCUCUCCAUGUUGAAGCAGAGCUGUUCGGAGGACACGUGUGAAUGGGUCGGGUGUUCAUUAUGCUGUCGUCCUCCCCUGAACACGGGGAUCAGGAAAUCUCGGCAGUGACAGGCGAGACUUUUCACCUGAACUGCUGCAGAACCCGAUGGUUUCCUUCUCACUGCGUCUUAUUUCCCCGGACUGACUCAUGUAAUCCCACUUCUCCUGUUUCAUAACCACUGUGCUACACAGCAAAAAGGAAAAAUGGAUGGGCAGGAUUCCACUGAAAGAACUCAACUCGAUGGAAGGAAGCAGUUUGGUUCUGGGAAGAACCCGAUGAACUUUGGUGCAGAUCCAGGAAUUUAUUUUGCUUCUUCAGGGAAUAAUUGUUGGAUCUAGGUGAAAAAAAAAGGAAACUGAUAUUUAUG